UACGUAGGGCGCAAGCGUUGUCCGGAAUUAUUGGGCGUAAAGAGCUCGUAGGCGGUUUGUCGCGUCUGCUGUGAAAUCCUCAGGCUCAACUUGGGGCGUGCAGUGGGUACGGGCAGACUAGAGUGCGGUAGGGGAGAAUGGAAUUCCCGGUGUAGCGGUGAAAUGCGCAGAUAUCGGGAGGAACACCGGUGGCGAAGGCGGUUCUCUGGGCCUUACCUGACGCUGAGGAGCGAAAGCGUGGGGAGCGAACAGG
rnacentral:rRNA from 1 species